GACGAACGCUGGCGGCGUGCUUAACACAUGCAAGUCGAACGGAAAGGCCCUGCUUUUGUGGGGUGCUCGAGUGGCGAACGGGUGAGUAACACGUGAGUAACCUGCCCUUGACUUUGGGAUAACUUCAGGAAACUGGGGCUAAUACCGGAUAGGAGCUCCUGCUGCAUGGUGGGGGUUGGAAAGUUUCGGCGGUUGGGGAUGGACUCGCGGCUUAUCAGCUUGUUGGUGGGGUAGUGGCUUACCAAGGCUUUGACGGGUAGCCGGCCUGAGAGGGUGACCGGCCACAAUGGGACUGAGGUACGGCCCAGUCUCCUACGGGAGGCAGCAGUGGGGAAUAUUGCACAGUGGGCGGAAGCCUGAUGCAGCAACGCCGCGUGCGGGAUGACGGCCUUCGGGUUGUAAACCGCUUUCGCCUGUGACGAAGCGUGAGUGACGGUAAUGGGUAAAGAAGCACCGGCUAACUACGUG
rnacentral:rRNA from 1 species